UUGAAUGUUAAUUGAUUUAUGUUUAGAUAUACUUACUUAAAAGUGAUUCUUAUGUGUUGAUAUUGUUUGGAUAG
rnacentral:pre_miRNA from 1 species